CGUAGGGUGCGAGCGUUAAUCGGAAUUACUGGGCGUAAAGCGUGCGCAGGCGGCGCGUUAAGACAGGUGUGAAAGCCCCGAGCUUAACUUGGGAAUUGCGCUUGUGACUGGCGAGCUGGAGUGUGGCAGAGGGAGGUGGAAUUCCACGUGUAGCAGUGAAAUGCGUAGAGAUGUGGAGGAACACCGAUGGCGAAGGCAGCCUCCUGGGCCAGCACUGACGCUCAUGCACGAAAGCGUGGGGAGCAAACAGGAUUAGAUACCCUGGUAGUCCACGCCCUAAACGAUGUCAACUGGUUGUUGGUGGGGUUAAACCCAUUAGUAACGAAGCUAACGCGUGAAGUUGACCGCCUGGGGAGUACGGCCGCAAGGUUA
rnacentral:rRNA from 1 species